CAGGGAGACAAAAACUGAUUGUGAUGUCUAAGUGAUUUAUUCUUAGACCAUAAUCCUGUCACCUUAGGUCGAUCGGUACCUCAAGUUGAUUGCAAUAAGUCUGUUAUAUCAGUCUUUCGAAUCGAUUUCAGUUCCUAAACUUGUCUAGGUCACACCCAACGAGGGUACUCCUGGGCCAUUAGCUCAGGUGGUUAGAGCGCACCCCUGAUAAGGGUGAGGUCCCUGGUUCAAGUCCAGGAUGGCCCAUUCGGUGUUGGGGGUAUAGCUCAGUUGGUAGAGCGCCUGCUUUGCAAGCAGGAUGUCAGCGGUUCGAGUCCGCUUACCUCCACUGAUCGACCUUCUAAUGGCGAAUUGAAGGGAGAUCUUCGUUGUUAUGGUUAUUGAUCUAGACUAGGUUUACAUGAUUGAACUCAGCUUCUUGUCAACGUCGUCUAUCUAGAUGAUGUUCAGUUGAUAAGACGCUGAGCUCACUGCAAAAUUUAUUUUGCAGAGAUCUUCAGUAGAACCUUGACAACUGCAUAGGUGAGUCUGGAAAGAAUAAAGCAUCUCAUGGAUGUAUUUUCCUUUUGAAAAGCCAUAGAUUUGGUUUUUUGAUAAUAGGUUAAAUACUUAAUUCUUGAGAAAAAAAGAAGCCAAUACUCUAUAAAUAAAUUCAAUUUCAUAUAAGAAAUUGAUUCAUAUUUCUAUAGAGUUUAU
rnacentral:tRNA from 1 species